rnacentral:lncRNA from 1 species
AAACAUCAACCCAACAAUGUUAGAUCUGUAAAUUUGCUUUCGCAAAUUUUUGGUUCUUCCCUCGCCGGGAUUCGAACCCAUGCUACUGUGAUAUCGUGACACCAAAUCGCCAGCACUGCAGCCGUCCCGCUAGACCACACGACCACCUGGGCUCUCAUAAAAAGAGCUUUCGCUGGCCGUGUGUUACCUUUCCUCGUCAGUUUUAAUCUAGCGGCGUACUACAGUACAUGAUAUAUAAGGCAUGAAGAUGUUAUUGUUACAGAUCAGCUAAAUUAUCUAUAGUAAAGGAACCUAAAAAUUAAUGUA